AAAUUGAAGAGUUUGAUCAUGGCUCAGAUUGAACGCUGGCGGCAGGCCUAACACAUGCAAGUCGAACGGUAGCACAGAGAGCUUGCUCUCGGGUGACGAGUGGCGGACGGGUGAGUAAUGUCUGGGAAACUGCCCGAUGGAGGGGGAUAACUACUGGAAACGGUAGCUAAUACCGCAUAAUGUCGCAAGACCAAAGAGGGGGACCUUCGGGCCUCUUGCCAUCGGAUGUGCCCAGAUGGGAUUAGCUUGUAGGUGAGGUAACGGCUCACCUAGGCGACGAUCCCUAGCUGGUCUGAGAGGAUGACCAGCCACACUGGAACUGAGA
rnacentral:rRNA from 1 species